rnacentral:rRNA from 1 species
AAUGAGCCUGCGAGUUGUGGUGUCUGGCAAGGUUAAGCAAACGCGAAGCCGUAGCGAAAGCGAGUCUGAAUAGGGCGCUUAGUCAGAUGCUGCAGACCCGAAACGAAGUGAUCUAUCCAUGAGCAAGUUGAAGCUAGUGUAAGAACUAGUGGAGGACUGAACCCAUAGGCGUUGAAAAGCCCCGGGAUGACUUGUGGAUAGGGGUGAAAGGCCAAUCAAACUUCGUGAUAGCUGGUUCUCUCCGAAAUAUAUUUAGGUAUAGCGUUGUGUCGUAAUAUAAGGGGGUAGAGCACUGAAUGGGCUAGGGCAUACACCAAUGUACCAAACCCUAUCAAACUCCGAAUACCUUAUAUGUAAUCACAGCAGUCAGGCGGCGAGUGAUAAAAUCCGUCGUCAAGAGGGAAACAACCCAGACUACCAGCUAAGGUCCCUAAAUCUUACUUAAGUGGAAAACGAUGUGAAGUUACUUAAACAACCAGGAGGUUGGCUUAGAAGCAGCCAUCCUUUAAAGAAAGCGUAAUAGCUCACUGGUCUAGUGAUUUUGCGCGGAAAAUAUAACGGGGCUAAAGUAAGUACCGAAGCUGUAGACUUGCGCACAACUUAGAUUAUUUAAGUUUAGAAUAUGAGAAACUAAGUUAUAUUUUUACUGAUUUUUAUAGAGUAAAGAUAGAAAUAAAACUUAGUAAAAUCAGUAAAAAUAUUCUUAGGCUAAAGUUAAGUAGUUUAAGUUGUGUGCAAGUGGUAGGAGAGCGUUCUAUUUGCGUCGAAGGUAUACCGGUAAGGAGUGCUGGAGCGAAUAGAAGUGAGCAUGCAGGCAUGAGUAGCGAUAAUUAAUGUGAGAAUCAUUAACGCCGUAAACCCAAGGUUUCCUACGCGAUGCUCGUCAUCGUAGGGUUAGUCGGGUCCUAAGUCGAGUCCGAAAGGGGUAGACGAUGGCAAAUUGGUUAAUAUUCCAAUACCAACAUUAGCGUGCGAUGGAAGGACGCUUAGGGCUAAGGGGGCUAGCGGAUGGAAGUGCUAGUCUAAGGUCGUAGGAGGUUAUACAGGCAAAUCCGUAUAACAAUACUCCGAGAACUGAAAGGCUUUUUGAAGUCUUCGGAUGGAUAGAAGAACCCCUGAUGCCGUCGAGCCAAGAAAAGUUUCUAAGUUUAGCUAAUGUUGCCCGUACCGUAAACCGACACAGGUGGGUGGGAUGAGUAUUCUAAGGCGCGUGGAAGAACUCUCUUUAAGGAACUCUGCAAAAUAGCACCGUAUCUUC